rnacentral:snRNA from 1 species
GUGCUCACUUUGGCAGCACAUAUACUAAAAUUGGAAUGAUACAGAGAUUAGCAUGGCCCCUGUGCAAGGAUGACACGCAAAUUUGUGAAGCAUUCCAUAUUAUA